AAUAGAUAAUAUAAUUAAGUAUUUCCUGAAUAAUUCAAGUGCCUAUAUGUUGACGUUAUUGAUUACGAGCAAAAAAUUGCUAAAAAAUGACGUUUGUUGUAUGGGAGCUCCCCUUUAAUU